rnacentral:tRNA from 2 species
UAUGGCAGAAUAGUGCAAUGGAUUUAAGCCCCAUAUAUAAAAUAAUAAUUUUUAUUAAAA